rnacentral:lncRNA from 1 species
UUCUGCAUUCUGUAAAAACCUACCACCUCUAGAUUAAUAUAUAACCUAUAAAACUAUAAAAAUGCUAAGCCACAUAUUAAAUUUAUCUGAUAUUCUAAUUUGCAGAAACCUACCAACCCACUUGGUAGUAUACUUUUAAUUUACAGAAACCUUCCAACCCACUUGGUAGAAUUUUAACAAAGCGCCACUUGCAUCCAAGUGGGUUGGUAGCUUUCUGCAAAUAUUGGGGAUUUCCAUUGUAACUGUACAUCUAAAUGUGCAGAAAAUGUUUCUGUUGAAAGUCAAAAAUAUUAAUUUGAGAGGUUUUGGUCGCUAAAUUCAUAUGAUGCUCAAACUAAUUUUAUUGCUGCUAGUGUAUCCGAGAUUGAAAAAACAGGUCUUAUGGUAGAAAUAUUGAAAAAA